UCAGGCAUUUACGAAUUUUUCAAGCUUCAUCAAAUCGUAGACAUUUCCCUUGACAAAACAGUGCUUCUGGAGCUUGUGACACUUCUCACUUUCUGGGUCUUCCAGACGGAUAAUGAAUCACCUACCAGUUGCAUCUGUGUCUGCUUUUUCAACUCCAGCUUACUCCUACUACUACUGCAACUAUUUGCCAGGCAUCCCUUUGUUUCCUGAGUCCUAGAAGCAGGUCCCCGACGAGGAACAACGAUGCCUGGACUCAGCUUCAGCCUCUGUUCUUCUACCGUUCAGAAGCCACCCUCCGGCAAGGUGACCCCGGCUGCUGGAUGGGGCAAGCCCAGGAAUUCUCGGCUUCUGACACAUGACGCAUUCAUCUUCUCCGACAGUGUUCCCAUGCACAACUUGUGGUUCGGGUUGGAAAUGCAAAGUGGAAAAAUGCAUAGCAGUAUCCCCUCCUCCAAGGCCUCAGUCUCUGUGCUCAUAUUCACUGAGACUAGUGACCCCCGACUUCCCACUCGCCGGCCCCUCCUCCUCCCCUUCCAACAUAAUAUGCUGUUUACUUAUUUAUUGUGUUCAUUUUCCGUCUCACCCAAAUCUAUUCUAGAAAAGGUUUUGUUUUGUUUUGUUAUUUUUCAGUGUUCUGUCCACUGUUGUACCCCCAGUACUUAGCUUCCCAUUUGCUACGCAGCAGACACUCAGUAGAUAUUGGUUGAGUGAAGAAAUGAUUGAGGACCAGUCAUCAUGCUUUUGUCCUAGCCUCACUGGGAACCAGCUAUACAGCUAUUGCCCUGUGUCUCAGUUUCCUUAUUGGGAAAUGGGGAUAAUAAUCUCUAAAGAAACAGAUGGAUGCAUAUAUGCAAACUAUUUAUAUGUUUGUAUAUUCCUAUCUGUAAAGUGUUUGUAUAUUCACAUAUGUAAAGUAAAAAAUGUAAAACGUUGGAUAAGUAUAAUGGAUGCACACUAUUUACAGUGCAUGGACACCUGUCAUGAUAAACAAACUGGAGAAGCAAUCACUAGCAAAUAGAUCAUAUCGAUAUGUGUGUGCCCCCAUGAAAACCUCCACAUUGUUGAAAGUGCUACCUGCUCUAAUCUCCUGUUUGUGAAGAUUAGCCCUAUUUCUCUAUCCAAAAAGAAGUUAUCUUGGGGGCCCAGCACCCCAAAAAAUUAGAUCUCAGGCCAUUGCACUAUGUCUAAGGGGUAUGUUGUAUAAGAUGUGCACGUAGUGGAAAUUGGACAAAGGGCACUAUAUAUAGAAUGUGAAAGUGGAGUUUUCAGGACCUGUGCUUUAAAUAUCAGGCAUGACAUCGUCACCAGCACCUCCAGGAGCGGAGCCGGAGGCAGGAUUCUCUGGGGAGUGCAUUUCCUCCAGUUCUGCUGAUGCAGGAGAGAAGGGUGAAUCAGCAGUAGGCGGCUGAAAGUUUUGAUAAUCACAAUUUGCUCUGGGUGAUCAAGUGGGGCCUGGAUGGAGGGAAACAAUUGGAUAUCUAACUAGGCUAAGCAAGAGGGCUCAGGGGACUGGCAGGAGAAGGAUACAGUGCUUUUACCUCCUGAUCAAGCUUUUCCCAUCUGGUCAUUUUAUUUGUCAAUUUUUCCCAUUUCAUUUACCAGGCUGUUCCCUGACUGUUACCUCCUCUGGCAAAUAGCUCAGCCAAUCAUUCUGCCUUGGGAAGGAUGUCUGGCUAAAGUGCCCAAUGUGGCCCCACCUAGGCCUUUUCCUAUGAGUACCCCUCUCUGUGGCCCAAGAUCCUCUCCAGCUCCCCCAUGAUAUUAGGUGUGGGAUCCACAACUUGCCUGCGGCAGAGAAACCCAGACACUCUCAUCCUGCCCUUUUCUUUCGUCAUGAAACAGGGUUGUGGGUUGGGUGGGAAAGGGGCUGAGGGGGUGAGUUUAGAGAGAGGAGGCUGGAAAUGAGAUUCCCAGCUCCAUCAUUAUUAGCAAUGUGACUUUGGGGAUAUUGCCACACCUCUCUGAGCCCCAUCUUCCUUCAUACCAAGAUGAUAAUCUCUCUCUCAUAGUCUCUGGUGAGAACCAGAGAGCAGGAGACACAAGUGCUGACCCAUAGUAGGUGAGGGGUACACAACUAUUGAGUAUACACAAUGGUCUCUCGAGAGCUGUCUCUACUGUUGAAUUUUUGAAUUCCUAAAACCAGAAGGGAAGAAAAACCAACAUUGAAUAAAAGUGCUAGACUGUAGUAGGUGCCUGUGUAUGUCAUCAUAUCACUCCCCGCCAACAGACUUAUAAACUGAAGAGUAGUAGUCCACUGCUCUGGUUUACAUAUGUCCCCCAAAAACCGUGUGUUGGAAACAUAAUCCUCAAGGCAACAGUGUUGAGAGGUGGAGCCUGAUAAGAAGUGAUUAGACCACAAGGGCUGUAUGGUUACGAAUGGAUUAAUACCAUUAUUACAGAAGUGGGAUCUUUAAAAAAUAAUGAGUUUGCCCCCCUUUUGUCUCUCUCUCACUCUCUCUUGCCAUUCUACUUUCUGCCAUGAUGAUACAUCAAGAAGGUCCUUGCCAGAUACCACCUCUUGAUCUUGGGCUUCUCAACCUCCAGAACUCUGAGCCAAUAAAUUUCUGUUCAUUAUAAA